UCCCAUCUGGUGCUACCCUGUCUGCCU
rnacentral:piRNA from 1 species